GACGGAGGGUGCAAGCGUUGUUCGGAAUUACUGGGCGUAAAGCGCGGGCAGGUGGCUCUUUAAGUCCUUUGUGAAAUUCCGGGGCUCAACUCCGGAUGUGCAUAGGAUACUGGAGAGCUAGAGACUGGUAGAGGCGAGCGGAAUUCCUGGUGUAGCGGUGGAAUGCGUAGAUAUCGGGAGGAACACCAGUGGCGAAGGCGACUACCUGGCCUGUUCUUGACGCUGAGGCGCGAAAGCUAGGGGAGCAAACGGG
rnacentral:rRNA from 1 species